GGGGGCUUAGGCUAAUUACACAAACCGCAUGCCUUCAAAGCAUGAACCAUGCACCACGCAUAGCCCCUG
rnacentral:tRNA from 1 species